GCUUGAAGUAUGGACUUGCCAAGUCAUCGGGUCCGUAGUACGCGUACUAGGAAUUGAGAAACGGCCUCAGUUUGAAGAGUACACCUGCGGAGGACUUCCAACAGGGGGCGCCCAUUAAUGUCAAUGUCAACAAAACAACAAGCAGCGUUGUAUUAUAAGUAUUACCGUAGAUUCCUCCGAACUCUGAUCCCGUCUUUUCCUGCCCUUCAGUAUCCAUCUCUUUAUUCUACUCAAAACAACGGCUCUUUUAAGAGCCACUCUUUUCUGUACUACAUAAACACACAGGCAUAUCACUCACUCACUCACUCACUCACUCACUCACUCACUCACUCACUCACUCACUCACCCACUCACUCACUCACUCACUCACUCACUCACUCACUCACUCACCCACCCAAUCACUGUCUGUCGGUCUGUCUGUCUGUCUGUCUGUCUGUCUGUCUUGCUGUCUCCGUGGCUAAACAUGCCAACGAAGGGGUCGACACAGAGGAAGUGUGUCAAUUGUGGCACACUUAUAAAUGUUGCCUGCAAAAAGUGCAAGGCAUGUGAAGCUAUCCAACCCUACAAGGUUAGACUUGCAAAAAGAAAAGAAGGCUUCAAUCGAAAGCGUGAAACGUGGGUCCAAACCCACAAAAAGAACCGGACCAGCUCUCACGUUCAGGAUGAGGCUAGCAUGUUGCUUGAGAAAUUGCAGGCCCUUGGAUGGAGGCCUGUUUUAUUCCUGGCAAGACCUGGGAAAAAGAAAGAUUGCUGGCACUCAGAAGUUUUGGCCCCUCUCUGCCAUCUGUCUGAGACGUCCUCUGCGUGUCUGGAAAGGAUGAAGGCACUGUUUGAUCACGUUAUUGAAGGAUGGACCCCCCCAGAGACACCUGCAGCAGCCUCCACUCUGCCUCCACCCUGUCCUCCACCCUGUCCUCCACCCUGUCCUCCACCCUGUCCUCCACCCUGUCCUCCAACCUGUCCACCAGAGACACCUGCAGCAGCCUCCACUCUGCAUCCACCCUGUCCUCCACCCUGUCCACCAGAGAAGUCUGCAGCAGCCUCCACUCUGCCUCCACCCUGUCCUCCAAAGACACCUGCAGGAGCCUCCACUCUGCCUCCACCCUGUCCUCCAGAUUCAACUGCAGGAGCCUCCUCAAAAACUCUUGAAGAAGGGGCAGAAGAUGAAACGAGUUCAGUGGGAGCCAUGCACACUCUGUGGAAAAACGUGGCCAUGGGAGUGGGUAGCCGAUGGAGAUACAUGUUAACCAUUGAUGUGCGCCAAAGAGAAUUUUUUUAUUAAGCAUUCAUCUGUUUAUUCUUCUAAUCAUCUGUUUAUUCUUCUAAUCAUAUAUUGAUUGUUUGGUUUGUAUAAAUUCAAAUAAAUUAACUGUUUAGUGUAAAAAAAAUGUUUGG
ensembl:lncRNA